UUAAAGUAUAUACAUACUAACAUGCAUAUGCGCAUAUACGCCUAAUAAUAAAUAAUAUAUAAUAUUACAGUAGUAAAUAAAAUAAGACAAAAUAAUAGUAUGGCAUAAUUGUGAUAAAAAACUAAGAAAUGGGUCAAAUUGAAUUAAAAACGAAAGAAAUGGGCGGAUUUAGAAUAAAUUUUAAAAAAAGGACCCAAUUGAAUGCGCGCGCAAGGGUAGAGGACCAAAAGGGAAAAAAUCCGCCUCCCUAAAACGCUGCACAGUAAUGGGGACCAAUUUGAAACGAGGAAAAAACAUUCGGGCUAAAUUAAAAAGAGAUAACUGGCUUAAUAAAACAUGGCGCAAAGGGGAAGGACUUAUUGUGAAAUUAUUCCAUUUAAUGUUGACAUGCGUGAACCCCCAAAUAAACAGCGCCAUCAAUACUCUGCUUUGUUUUAAGUUUUUUUAAAAAAAGAAAAAAAUGCUAGGGAGACUUUCUUUUUCCCUGAAGCAAAGUCUGCUUCUUUUAGGGUUUUAUCAACCCUUCAACGCCGCCAUUCAGUUGGUGCCCAUGGCCUCCAUCGACGGAAAAGACGCCGGCCCGUCGACUCCGGCGACCAGGUGCGUGGAGAGUUUGGCAUGCGUGGAGGCCGAAACUUGCGGCGUCCGGAUGCUGCUGGAGGCGCUGAAGGCGGGGGGAGCUGCGGCGGCUACUGGCAAAUGCUGCUCCUUGCUGUUUAGGGCUAGGGUUCUUUGUUUUUUGUUUUGCUUUGAGCCACUUAUUGUUGGGCUGUUUUUAAUUUUUUUGGACCUGGGUCAAUUGGGCCCUAUUACAAAAGAAAUAUUAAAUAAAA